AACUGAGCAGAACCGAAGCAAGGAUAAGCAGGGGCACGGCCCCCAUGGAAGUGCUGAAGAGGGGAUCGACGAGAAGGAGGGAAUGAGGAAGAGGAAGGAGGCAACGAGGGGAAGGGCGGAGCUGGAAAAGGCCCAGCAGGGACGUGUAGAAACUGAGGAAGGGUCGAGUUCAGCAAGAGUGUCUUCGACAUCACAUCCUCAGCAAAAUAGGAGACGGAUGAAGACGGGGAGAAGAAACCUUUCUGGAGAAGCAUGGGAAACAGCACUUUGGUAAGGUGUUUCUUGAAAGUUGUACGUUUGUCCCGUACACGCCUCGGUUUUUUGUGUUGAUCUAGUUGUUUGUUGUGUUGAUGUAGUUCUUUGUCUCCCCUCAGCUCAAAGCGGAGAGUACCCUGGAGUGCUGAUCCGGUUUGUUUAAGUGAAGUAGGGUCUGCCUAACACCAUUGGCCCACAGUUAUACAGCGAGCUGAACUGUCUAAAAAGCUGACAUAUUAUACCAACAGUUACAGUACAAGCUGAAGGACCGGUUGCAACUAGUGUCAUAUCCAGAGCAGGAAGGAGGAGGAGCAGCAGGAGGAGGAAAAGGAACAGGAGGAGGAGGAGGUGGAGCGGCAGAAGGAGGAGGGGG
ensembl:lncRNA